rnacentral:rRNA from 1 species
CCUACGGGAGGCAGCAGUGGGGAAUCUUCUGCAAUGGGCGCAAGCCUGACAGAGCGGCGUCGUGUGAAGGAAGAAGGCCUGAAAUAGGUUGUAAACUUCUUUUACUGAGUAAUGAAUAAUGACAACGCAGUAAAAAAGUAUCGGCUAACUCCGUGCCAGCAGCCGCGGUAAUACGGGGGAUGCAAGCGUUAUCCGGAAUCACUGGGCGUAAAGCGUCUGUAGGUGGUUUAGUGUGUUCUUAGUUAAAUUAUGAAGCCUAACUUCAUGAAAAGUAAGAAAACUAUUAGACUUGAGUACGAUAGGGGUAAGAGGAAUUCUUCGAGAAGUAGUGAAAUGCGAAGAUACGAAGGAGAAGAUCAUAAGCGAAGGCUUCUUACUGGGUCGUAACUGACACUGAGAGACGAAAGCUAGGGGAGCGAAUGGGAUUAGAUACCCCAGUAGUCCUAGCUGUAAACGAUGGAUAUUCGGUGCCGGAAAUUUAGUGUAUUAGAACAUUUCGGUACCCUAGCUAACGCGUUAAAUAUCCCGCCUGAGGAGUACGCUCGCAAGGGUGAAACUCAAAUGAAUUGACGGA